GUUUCUUUUGUGUAAAAUGAUAUAAAAGCCAGCCAUAUUGCAUUGAUUGAUUCAUUCUGUAAUUAACUUUGAGACAUGUAAGGUGAAACUCUGCUCGAAUAAAUACCGCUCAAUGUAUAAUUAUUCAAGACUUUUACUAUUCUCUAACAGUUUCUUACAAAAUUACU